CCUACGGGGGGCUGCAGUGGGGAAUAUUGGACAAUGGGGGCAACCCUGAUCCAGCCAUGCCGCGUGUGUGAAGAAGGCCCUCGGGUUGUAAAGCACUUUCAGUGAGGAAGAACGCCUGGUGGUUAAUACCCAUCAGGAAAGACAUCACUCACAGAAGAAGCACCGGCUAACUCCGUGCCAGCAGCCGCGGUAAUACGGAGGGUGCGAGCGUUAAUCGGAAUUACUGGGCGUAAAGCGCGCGUAGGUGGCUUGAUAAGCCGGUUGUGAAAGCCCCGGGCUCAACCUGGGAACGGCAUCCGGAACUGUCAAGCUAGAGUGCAGGAGAGGAAGGUAGAAUUCCCGGUGUAGCGGUGAAAUGCGUAGAUAUCGGGAGGAAUACCAGUGGCGAAGGCGGCCUUCUGGACUGACACUGACACUGAGGUGCGAAAGCGUGGGUAGCAAACAGGAUUAGAUACCCGAGUAGUC
rnacentral:rRNA from 1 species